CGUAGGUGGCAAGCGUUGUCCGGAAUUAUUGGGCGUAAAGCGCGCGCAGACGGUCCUUUAAGUCUGAUGUGAAAGCCCACGGCUCAACCGUGGAGGGUCAUUGGAAACUGGGGGACUUGAGUACAGAAGAGAAGAGUGGAAUUCCACGUGUAGCGGUGAAAUGCGUAGAGAUGUGGAGGAACACCAGUGGCGAAGGCGACUCUUUGGUCUGUAACUGACGCUGAGGCGCGAAAGCGUGGGGAGCAAACAGGAUUAGAUACCCUGGUAGUCCACGCCGUAAACGAUGAGUGCUAAGUGUUAGAGGGUUUCCGCCCUUUAGUGCUGCAGCAAACGCAUUAAGCACUCCGCCUGGGGAGUACGGCCGCAAGGCUG
rnacentral:rRNA from 1 species